rnacentral:rRNA from 1 species
UACGGAGGGUGCAAACGUUGCUCGGAAUUACUGGGCGUAAAGCGCGCGUAGGCGGACCUGCAAGUCGGGGGUGAAAGCCCGAGGCUCAACCUCGGAACUGCCUUCGAUACUGCGGGUCUCGAGUCCGGGAGAGGUGAGUGGAAUUCCUAGUGUAGAGGUGAAAUUCGUAGAUAUUAGGAAGAACACCAGUGGCGAAGGCGGCUCACUGGCCCGGUACUGACGCUGAGGCGCGAAAGCGUGGGGAGCAAACAGG